rnacentral:rRNA from 1 species
UCCGCAGUUAAGCGUGCUUGGGCGAGAGUAGUAAUAGGAUGGGUAACCUCCUGGGAAGUCCUCGUGUUGCACCCA